GCUCAGCGGUUAAGAGCACUGGCUGUUCUUCCAGAGGACCUGGGUUCAAUUCCCAG
rnacentral:tRNA from 1 species